GAUGAACGCUGGCGGCGUGCCUAACACAUGCAAGUCGAGCGAAGCACUUUGCUUAGAUUCUUCGGAUGAAGAGGAUUGUGACUGAGCGGCGGACGGGUGAGUAACGCGUGGGUAACCUGCCUCAUACAGGGGGAUAACAGUUAGACAUGACUGCUAAUACCGCAUAAGACCACAGCACCGCAUGGUGCGGGGGUAAAAACUCCGGUGGUAUGAGAUGGACCCGCGUCUGAUUAAGUGGUUGGUGAAGUAACUGCUUUCCAAGGGGAGGAUUCAUAAUCCACCUUAGAUGUUUAACGGGCAACUUGGGAAAUGAAAACCGGCCAAAACCGGCUGGAGGGAACUAGGGGGGAAUGGUGUAAAUGGGAGAACCCUUCAUGCAGCGCCCCCAUUUGAUAAA
rnacentral:rRNA from 1 species